GUCGGAUUGCUGUUUAAUGAAAUACUUUCACAAAACGUGUCCUGUGGGAAAUGUCCUGGUGCAGCGCCAGUGGAGCAAGAAUCCUCGAUAAGCACACAGCAGGCCUCCUUGAGCCCAGGCAGGUGCCGUGCAUUAUUCAGUAUGGCUGAGUAUGCACACUCGAUCAGCACAGGGACAGCGACAACUGCAGCUGCCGGCCUCCUCUGAAGAUCCUUUGAGAGAUGGCUAAAGACAUUUUCAAGCAGGGCUAAACCACUGAUUUCAG